rnacentral:rRNA from 1 species
AGAGUUUGAUCCUGGCUCAGAGCGAACGCUGGCGGCAGGCCUAACACAUGCAAGUCGAGCGCACCUUUCGGGGUGAGCGGCGGACGGGUGAGUAACACGUGGGAACGUGCCCUUCGGUUCGGGAUAACUCAGGGAAACUUGAGCUAACACCGGAUACGCCCUAACGGGGAAAGGUUACGCCGAAGGAGCGGCCCGCGUCGGAUUAGCUUGUUGGUGGGGUAAAGGCCCACCAAGGCGACGAUCCGUAGCUGGUCUGAGAGGAUGAUCAGCCACACUGGGACUGAGACACGGCCCAGACUCCUACGGGAGGCAGCAGUGGGGAAUCUUGCGCAAUGGGCGAAAGCCUGACGCAGCCAUGCCGCGUGAAUGAUGAAGGUCUUAGGAUUGUAAAAUUCUUUCAGCGGGGACGAUAAUGACGGUACCCGCAGAAGAAGCCCCGGCUAACUUCGUGCCAGCCGCCGCGGUAAUAC